rnacentral:misc_RNA from 1 species
UACGGAGGGCGCAAGCGUUGCUCGGAAUCACUGGGCGUAAAGCGUACGCAGGCGGCUCGUUAAGUCGGAUGUGAAAGCCCGGGGCUCAACCCCGGAAUUGCGUUCGAAACUGGCGGGCUUGAGUACGGGAGAGGGAAGCGGAAUUCCUGGUGUAGAGGUGAAAUUCGUAGAUAUCAGGAGGAACACCGGCGGCGAAAGCGGCUUCCUGGCCCGAUACUGACGCUCAUGUACGAAAGCGUGGGGAGCAAACAGG